GCGAUGAAGGCGGCUAGAAAUUGAAACUGGGGGAGGGGGAUUUUUGGGAGGGAUGGACGCAUUUGCCCCUGUCAGAUAUGUUUUUUUUUUACAUAUUUUACAUGUAAUAAGGUCUAUUUUUACAUGACCCGCUUAUAUGUUUUUCCCAGUUUUACAUUUUUUUUAAAACUUUUUCAUUUCUGUUUUUGUGACGGUGAUAUUGGAAAUCCCACCGGACCAAGGUUUGACUCAUUUUAUCUGAGGAUAUGUCAAGGUAAUGAGUAGUGACGAUCAUGCACAAAAAGACGGGACGGUGAAGCAUCCAUUUGUUUUUCAAGAAACAAAAUAGCUCUCUUGUUGCUUCCGUAGGAAAUAAAACCAAAACCAACCUACAUGAUCCGUUAUGUUUUUCGGAAAACAUUCUCACACGUAUUUU
rnacentral:lncRNA from 1 species